UAAUUUAAUAUAAAACUGUUGUUUUAUGUUUAACACGAUAAUUGAAAAUAUCUAAAAAUAUUCAUACAAUUUUUAAAAUCUCACAAUAUUCUAUUGUUGUAAACUUUCUAACAAUCGAGUUUUAAACAACACUUUUGGAAUAAUUUAUAUACGAAAUCAUGAGUUCGCUCCUCAAAAAAUAUACAAUUCAAUACCUAUCAACAUAUCAAUUCCUAGCCGAUAAUCGCGUCAUAGGCGCGUACAUCUCGCACGUUUUCAACCGCCAUCAACAGCAUCCAACUUCCGGCCCUGGAUCCUACGACGCAUUACGUGUCCACGAAAGCCGCGGGAUGAAUUUCAAAGCGGGCAAGGUGUAGAGAGACUCCUCGGCCGGAGGAUGCUCGUAGUUACCUUCUAAUGAGCGAGCCAAUCCCCUUACGUGACGGGCAUUCGCAACAUAGGCCACGUAGGAGGGGGAGGGGGAGGAGAAGGGGUUCGGCUCGUUGGGAGGAAAAACUCCGGGUAGAGGAGGAAGAGGAGGAGGUCUGUGGCUGGUGCGUGCCAGUCCACGGAGAAGGCUCGCUCGCAAUUACGCGUACUUUGUUUUCGAAUACAAUUUGUUGUCAUUUGAACGAGGCCCUCGUUUGUUCGCUACGUUUGCUCGUUUUUCCUCGCUCGUGUUUCCUCUGCACAGCCUCCCACUACCAUCGCGUUUUUAUCUUCUCUUUCGCGAUACACGGCCCGUUGUCAAGCUUAUCGAUCCGUUGUGGCUACGUUGUCGUGUGCACGCGACAACCAACUCUCGCACGCGACACCGCGUCUCGGACCACGCGAGUUUCGUGGUAAGGAAAUGAACGAAUUGGCGAGUUCGUUGACUCGUGAACGAGGGUUGGAUGUCUUUGAAGAACGAAGCGAUUGUGAAUGGAAGGAAGAAGAGAAGGGGUUGAUUGGUGAAUUUAUUAUAAAUGUAAAUUGUAUAACGAUAUAUUUGUUGUUAUUGGAACUUAAAUUAAUAUUUAUUCUAAUAGCUAUUGUAAUUGAUCCUAUUUUAUAAGGCUUGGCUUAUUCAAUGUUUUGAGUGCUAAAUUAUUGAAAUAAAUUUGUUCUUAAGUUUAAGGAUUAAUUAGAUGGAUAAAUGUUUAAAGAUUUGAAGAACGAAGUGAUUAUGGAUACAGGAAAAAAAAGGGUUGAUUUGUGUGAAAUUUUAAGAAAAACAGAAAUUGUAAUAAAAAUUUAUUACAAGAUUUAGAAUAUGUGAAAAAAGAAUUUGUAAAAUAUAUAAAUAAGAAUUAAAUAAUUGUAAUCAAAUUCUUUUUGAUUUUCGAAGAAUUGAGAAAAUUCAAUGAAAAUUUAAUAUUCGAUAAAUGAAUAAAAGAUAUAUUCUAAUAUUCUGAAUGAAUAUUAAAUAUGUUAUAAUAAAUAAUUAUGAAUUUUAAAGAAAAUCUACAUUGAAACCAAUAUCGUUGAAAUGAUAAAUAUUGGAAGGGAAGAUAAAUAAAUCUUAGUAAGAUCAAUUUUCAGAAUUUAAUUAGAACUUGUUGGACCAAUACUCACCGAGGGAACCGUGCUUCAGUUGAAAAUUCAGUUAGUUAAUGAGAUUAAUCAACAACCUUUGAAGAAGUUACUGUUCGGAGAAAUCAACAUUAAUAACCUUGUUUCAAAGAAGCCAAAAGUUGGUGAGCAGUGCUGCAAUAUAUGACUGCAAUCGUUUUAAAACAAUUUCAACUUCAAGAAAUUAGGUAACUAAAAAAAAAGAUCAGAAACAAAAUUGUUAGAAAUACAUGUAAAAGAAAAAAUUUGUCCCAUUUUCGACAAGAAAUUUAAUAAAAAUACAAAAAAGAAAAAAAAAGAAAAACCUCCAAUCCUCAUAGAUUUAUAACUCGAAGGAUCCAUAAUUACGCGAAAUACUAAUAUUGGAGCAAGAUUGACGGUACGUUUAACUGGAAAAUGAGCCGAGGUAUGAAAAUCAACGACGGGAAAUCCAUAAAAGUUCCUUUGAAUACCUUUCCAUGCCACGGUAGAGGGCAGGUAUUAGCAUUUUUCUCCCUUCUUUUUUCUCCUUCUUCUCCUUUCACCCCUCUCUGCUUUCUUCUUUCCUUUGCAGCUCUCUCUUUGGCCGGCUGCCUCUUGGUCGGCUCAAUAUUAGGGUGCUCGGCUUUCCUCUCCUUUAUUCGCGACUCCCUUCUCUCUUGCCCCGGCAUCUUUUAUUUCGCGUUUUCCGCUCGGUCGUCGUCGUCCAUUUCCUUGGCAUUCACUUUGGCGUCGUCGAACACGCGCGGGACACACACUUUCGCCCCUUUUGUGAUGAGGAGACACACACCCCCUCCCUUUUCACUCGUCCGGCCGAUUUUCAAGAGGGAAUUUUCCUCUCCUUCAAGAAUCCCUUCGACAAUUCUGAUGACGAAAUUACUCGCGGGGACGAGUGUUCGAAUGAUAAAUCGUCGCGUUUCGAAAGGUUGGAAGCGUUUAUUCGUGAGUUAAUUUCUCAAAAAUGGAUGUAAUUUAUUCCAAGAGUUGAUCGAUUGAAUAUUUGGUUUUCUAUCUGGAGAUACUCUUUGGAAGAUCUUUAAAUUUUCUAUUAACGUUUCUCAACAGUGUUCAAAUAGGAAGAAUUCAAUUUCGAAAUGAAACGAAAGAGAAAAUUAAAUAAUUUAAAAAAACGAAACAUUCCGUUUUCUUAAUUGAUGACAAUAUGAAUUAUGUAUAGUUUCUAAUCAAGUGUAUAAUAUAUUUCUUAUUUUAUUUUUAUAAUAAUAACAAAUAAUAUAUUUCUUACAUAUUUUCAAAUUAACCGCUAUUCGUUUAUCCAACCGCAAGCCUCUUUCACAAGAGCCGCUUAACUAGAGAAUCCACGGAAUCUAGUUAAAACUGUCUGAAACUAUUCCAACCAACCUAUGACCCAAAGAUACCAUUCAAGGGUUCAAACUACGCACGAUAGAGAAUCCCCACGAGAAUCUUCGUAGAAAUUUCUCUCUUUAACCUAACUUGUGUGCACAACAAUAUGGCCGACUUGUAUAAACCAUGUUACUAGUUACAUGUUAUCAGAUUUGUUUCGACCAAUCUUUCAAUCUGCGAAAUAUUUGCAUGCAAAAGAAAUAUCGACUCGAUUUCAAUAUGCGUCAUCGGCCGACUAUCAACCGAGAAAAGGGAAAGCGAUGUACUCUAUGUGCCAUGCGACUUUGUUUAUUCUUCCCAACUAAUCCCUGGCGGCCGUCCGCCCGAAAAAUCUCACCCCCCUCUCGCUCCUCUCCCCGCAUGAAAAAAGGACAGUUCUGUUUAUCUGGCAAUUUAUUCCAGGCCGCGCCACCGCGAUUAUAGAGCUAUAGUCGGAUACGAGUCGCGAAUUCGAAGGGUGCAUUAAAGAUCGAUGCAUCCGAGCGUGGAUUAAUUGGGGUUCCGAUAUGGGCAUGAGUUAGGAGAGGGGUUAAUACGUUUUGCAAGUCGAAACAUUGGAUGGAUGUAUAGAUGGGAAGAUCCUUUGCAAGAUUGGGUUCUUUUGAUAGUCGCCUGUUCCGAUGGUUGGAGAUGAGGGUUACUGGUGGAUGUUUGUAUACUAUCGUGGAAUAAUCUUGGACUAAUUACUAAUGGGAAAGAUUUUUGUAACGGAAACGGAAUUUUUAUUCUUAAUUUCACUUCUUUAUUGCUACUAAGAUUUAUAUCGAAUUAUAUAAUUUAUUCAUAUUUUAGAUUUUUUGUAAUGAAUUUUUUUUCAUUGAAUAGAAUUAAAAUCUUACAUGCACGUACAGUCUUUCCAUACUUCUCUCGAUAAUAAAAUUAAUAAAUAAUCGCUGUUAUUCAUCGAUGAUAAACACAUAAAUUCAUCUCCCAAGCUCAUCAGAGAUUCAUUUAAACCCAAGAUCCCUGAGAAUCGAUCAAACUCCACCGCAAGCCAUCUCUCUGCACCCUCGAAGAAAGCUUUCAAGGGCUCGUUAGGAGAAGAGGCUGGUUUUCAUCGUUGGGAACUUCGGUCGAUUGAUCAAGCGUAAUCAUUGGAGCAUCGCUGCGAGAUUCGAAUGGAAGCGGGAAAUGCAGAAGAAAAAGCAGAACUGGUGGAAGACGCUUGUAAGAGAAACAAAAGAGAGGAAAAAAGUCGAAGAUGGAAUGAAGAGGAGAAAAGCAGAGAGACGAGGAGAAAUGAAAAACGGAACUCCCGGAACACGCGUGAACGAGCUUCGGACAGUAUUGCGAUCAGCCAGCCCUCGAGCAACUGCCACCCCCUUUGCUCGUUCUGCUCGUAUCGUGGAUACGCCCCUGACCCGUUGCCCCUGGCGAGUAGAGACUCCAUCGCGAAACGAUGAAAUGAGUUCUGUUGGCGCACAACUUGAAACUCAAUCUAAACGACGCUUCUUCGUGCCAUCUAAGAAGUUGCCGCUAGUUGUCGCUGUUUUCACAAAUAUGGAGAUUGUUAUUAGCAAAUUUAUUUGCUUAUGAAUAUGUUUGAAUUUGAAUAUGUUGAAACAUGGAUAGAAUUGAGAAUUGAUUUUUUUCAAAAGUAAGCGAUUUUGUUUGGAGAAUGGUUUUUUUUUUUUUUAAGAAUGUACAAUGUAUUUUGUGUAAAAAUCAGAAAAAUGGUUUGUUAUUUUAUAUAUUUUAAUAAAUUUUGAAUUAUUUUUUUUAAUAAGAAGCAUCUCUUGUUAAAAUUUAAUCUCCUCCAUUACAAUCCUUCACAAGAAAGAAAAUACUUUCGAUAAAGUCCAUUUACAUAAAUCACGAAAAUUAAACGAAAUAUAUUAAUAUCACGAUCAGGAGUCCUGUGAUAAUAAUUUUUCAUCAUUCUUUUUUGAAAAUUGAAUUUUCUAGCAUCGAAAGAAUACAACCGAUUGACCGAUUCCAUAAGAAACCGAUGGAAUAUCUGGAGUAUCGAUGUUUUCUCGCAUAAAACGCUUUUCUACCUCGGGCAAAAGAUUAUUCUCGCAGGAACAGAUGGCACGAUGAAGGAGAAGAGGAGGGAGGAAGGUUCACGCCUCAGCCAGCUUUCGAAAAAUCUCGAGGACAGAGGGCGACCUUUACAAGACGUUGCACACCAUCUCCCGUUCGCGAAACCGAGAUUCUAUCGCUCCAGGGUAAUAAAAGGGCCGAAAGAGAGAAGAAUGCAAGAGGAUAAGAAAGCCCGAAGAGGAAGAGACGAGCGUGGAAGGGCAAAGAAGGCUUGUUAGAUUGAGUUUCAGGUUGGCUAUGGGCUGGGAAUGUCUCGUUUUACGGAGAAAAUUUUCUACUUCUUUCUGAAAAGAAAAUAUAAACAUGACACGUCCAUCGAAAAAAGGAAGAAAAAGAGAGAGAAAGAGAGACAGAGAUAGUGAAUGGGGUCCUGUUUGAGGAAAUAACGCAACUCGUUAUCAAGAAAGUUGCAAACUUUCCUCACCUAUUUCGUCAUUUAAAAGUUAAUGGCAAGGUUCGUUAUAAGGAUAUAUUUUUCUUAGAGAAAUUAUGAUACGAGCGAUAGAUAAGGAAAUUGUUCGAAGGAAUGUUUGCAGUUUAUGAAGAGUUAAUAUAGAUAUUAAAAUUAUAAAAAAAAUCUGUUCAUUCAGAUUAUAUUAUCAUCGAAAAUUUGAUCAUUUUAUGAUUACUGUAAUAAUAAUUGUAAUUUAUAAUAUAUAUAUGUAGUAAUAAUUGUAAUAAUAAUAUUAUUAAUAUUAAAAAAAUAGUUGUAUUUAAGAUAUAAAAAUUAUCAUAUUUUCAACAGAUUUUAUUCAUGGUGUUGUGUUAUUCAAUAACGUUUAAAAAUAAUUUGCAUUAUUCAUUCUAAUAAGUUUUAUCUGGAAAGAUUAUAUUAAUGUGAAAUUUCAAAUAAAUCUGAAUAAAUUGUAAAAUUCCAAUAUCUUCGUAGUAUUUGGAAUCUUUAUCUUUAUUAUAUGAAUAAUGUAACGUAAGAGAUUCUUUGAUACACGUAACCUUAAACCGUUUGUUACUCUUUUAUACGAUGCUGUAAUGGAUGUUGCGAGUACAAGACUCGCCAGAGGGUAGAUUGGAAUUUUGAUAUAACGGUGGUGAAAGCGUGCGUCGUGAAACUUGUUUAUUAACAAGUGGAUAAAGGGAGCUGAUCUAAAUUUGAAGGAUGAAGCGUAAAGAGAGAAGCCACAGUCGGCUUCGCUCCUUGAUUAAGAAGCAAUUCGAUUUAGGCAAAGAAGCAAUUAGUCUUAAACAGAGAAAGUUACUCGUGAAAGUGAGUCGAUUAACAUCCGCUGAAUCGGGUACUCGAUGUUGAUUAAUCGUGAAGUAAUUAAGGAAUCUCCAACUUCUACGCGAAAUAAUUUCUCAAUGAUUUCAAACUAAUUCCUAAUUUGCACCUACCUAUUUGAAUAAUCUCGAAUAAAGCAAAUUUAAGAAAAAAAAUUAAUGUAAAUAAACUCGUGGUUAAAUAAAUUCUUAAGUAAAAUAGAAUGGAUAUAAAUUUUAUAUCGUACAAUUUUUCAAAACAAAACUUCUCUUCUAUUAAAAAGUAACUUCUCUCGAACAACAGCCGAACGAAUCAAGUAUCUACUAAUUUAAUUCUUCCGUUUCAACGCGAUGAAUAAAUAAUAAUUUGAACCACCUUUUGCCACUAAAAGCCAGCGAUGUCAUCGAGAGAAGUAAGCAACGAGCCACUUUCCAUUCCCGUCACGAAACCGCGUAUAAAUCUUGACCGAGGGAAUAACGCCUGGGUCUGGCUGGCUCAUAGCUCUCCAACAGCGAAACACGACUUGUAAUUACGUUUCUGAAGGCAAAUAAGAGGUCUCGUCCCAGCGAAAGAGGACGGAAGGAGGGGGGAGGCAGGGAUCCGAGUUUUGUUGGCAUACAACUUGAAACUCAAUCUAACGGCUUUUCCACGUUUUACGCUGCUCCGCUUUUCCCUCCCUCUUUCCUUCUAUUUCCAUCUCUCGGCUCACCCUCGGCUCUGCUCCUCGUGGGUUCGUGAUUCCUUCUUAGUCCAUGGGGGCGACACGGGUGGAUCCAUCGAGUUGCAGAGCCGCGGCGCAAACACUGGGAUACACCUUUGUCUGUCUUUCUAAUUCUCGGGACAACAGGUCGGGAAUAUGUUGCGAACUUUUCUCUAUCUCGGACCCACCUAUUCCAGACACACGCUAGGAUCUUGAAGAAGAAAAAGAAGAAGAAGAAGAAGAAAAAGAAAAUCGUCGUUUUCUCGUCUUUGGACUCUUUGGUCCAAAGUAUUGGUUUCGUGAAUGGACUGUGAUUAAGUUUCGUUUAGUUACGAAAUAAAGCGUUUGUUGGAGAUAUUUUGAAAUGAUAAUGGCGUGUAAUCCUUAAUUUGUGUGGUGUGAAGAAAAGAGAAAGAGAAAAGAAAUAUUUAUUUAUUAUUGUAAUAUUAAAUAAAGUUUAGUAAAUUUUAUUUAAUAGAAUUUUAUAUUAAAUAAUUAUAUUAAAUUAUAUAAAUUGUGAAUUUAAGUUUUUUUUAAAUUUAUAUAUUAUUAAAAUUCAACAAAUAAAUUGUACUUACUUAUUAAUAAUGAAAAUAUUCUUCAAUAUUUUUUUUAUAUCUAUUCAUAAAAUUUUAGACUUUAAACAAAUAUAUUAUAAAAAAAAGUGAAUUAAUAAUAAAA